GACGAACCGUGCGAACGUUAUUCGGAAUCACUGGGCUUAAAGCGCGUGUAGGCGGGCCGGCACGUCGAUGGCUGAAAUCCCCCGGCUCAACCGGGGAAGUGGCCUCGAUACGACCGGCCUGGAGGGGGUAGGGGGCGCCGGAACUUCCGGUGGAGCGGUGAAAUGCGUUGAGAUCGGAAGGAACGCCCGUGGCGAAAGCGGGCGCCUGGACCCCGACCUGACGCUGAGACGCGAAAGCCAGGGGAGCGAACGGG
rnacentral:rRNA from 1 species